UACGUAGGUGGCAAGCGUUAUCCGGAAUUAUUGGGCGUAAAGAGUGAGUAGGCGGUCGAUAAAGUCUGUAGUUAAAAGCAGUUGCCCAACAACAGUCAGCUUCAGAAACUAAUCAACUAGAGUGCAGGAGAGGUAAACGGAAUUCCAUGUGUAGCGGUGAAAUGCGUAGAUAUAUGGAGGAACACCAGUGGCGAAGGCGGUUUACUGGCCUGUAACUGACGCUCAGUCACGAAAGCGUGGGGAGCAAAUAGG
rnacentral:rRNA from 1 species